rnacentral:misc_RNA from 1 species
AAGUCGUAACAAGGUUUCCGUAGGUGAACCUGCGGAAGGAUCAUUAUUGAAUAAACCUGAUGUGACUGUUAGCUGGCUUUUCGAAGCAUGUGCUCGUCCGUCAUCUUUAAUCUCUCCACCUGUGCACAUUUUGUAGUCUUUGGAUACCUCUCGAGGCAACUCGGAUAUUAGGAUCGCCGUGCUGUACAAGUCGGCUUUUCUUUCAUUUCCAAGACUAUGUUUUUAUAUACCCCAAAGUAUGUUUAAAGAAUGUCAUCAAUGGGAACUUGUUUCCUAUAAAAUUAUACAACUUUCAGCAAC